rnacentral:rRNA from 1 species
GUGUCAGCAGCCGCGGUAAUACGUAGGCAGCGAGCGUUGUUCGGAGUUACUGGGCGUAAAGGGUGUGUAGGCGGUCCUCUAAGUUCGGUGUGAAAUCUCCCGGCUCAACUGGGAGGGUGCGCCGGAAACUGGAAGGCUUCGAGUGCGGGAUGGGAGAGUGGAAUUCCUGGUGUAGCGGUGAAAUGCGUAGAUAUCAGGAGGAACACCUGUGGUGUAGACGGCUCUCUGGACCGUAACUGACGCUGAGACACGAAAGCGUGGGUAGCAAACAGGAUUAGAAACCCGCGUAGUCC